rnacentral:rRNA from 1 species
UACGAAGGGUGCAAGCGUUACUCGGAAUUACUGGGCGUAAAGCGUGCGUAGGUGGUUUGUUAAGUCUGCUGUGAAAUCCCCGGGCUCAACCUGGGAAUGGCAGUGGAUACUGGCAAGCUAGAGUGCGGUAGAGGGAUGUGGAAUUCCCGGUGUAGCGGUGAAAUGCGCAGAUAUCAGGAGGAACACCAAUUGCGAAGGCAACUCGCUGGGACGUUACUGACGCUGAGACGCGAAAGCGUGGGGAGCAAACAGG